rnacentral:rRNA from 1 species
UACGAAGGGGGCUAGCGUUGCUCGGAAUCACUGGGCGUAAAGGGCAUGCAGGCGGUCGGACGCGUUUCGGGUGACAGCGGGUGGCUUAACUACCCGAGUGGUCGAAAGACGGUUUGACUUGAGGACGCGAGAGGGACACGGGAAUUCCGGGUGGAGUGGUGAAAUGCGUAGAGAUCCGGAGGAACACCGGAAGGCGAAGGCAGUGUCCUGGCUGGUGACUGACGCUGAGGUGCGAAAGCUAGGGGAGCGAACGGG